rnacentral:rRNA from 1 species
GACGAACGCUGGCGGCGUGCUUAACACAUGCAAGUCGAACGGAAAGGCCCUGCUUUUGUUGGCUGCUCGAGUGGCGAACGGGUGAGUAACACGUGAGUAACCUGCCCUUGCCUUUGGGAUAACUUCAGGAAACUGGGGCUAAUACCGGAUAGGAGCUCCUGCUGUAUGGUGGGGGUUGGAAAGUUUCGGCGGUUGGGGAUGGAAUCGCGGCUUAUCAGCUUGUUGGUGGGGUAGUGGCUUACCAAGGCUUUGGCGGGUAGCCGGCCUGAGAGGGUGACCGGCCACAUUGGGACUGAGGUACGGCCCAGACUCCUACGGGGGGCAGCGGUGGGAAAUAUUGCACAAUAGGCGGAAGCCUGAUGCAGCAACGCCGCGUGGGGGAUGACGGCCUUCGGGUUGUAAACCGCUUUCGCCUGUGACGAAGCGUGAGUGACGGUAAUGGGUAAAGAAGCACCGGCUAACUACGUG